rnacentral:rRNA from 1 species
UGGGGAAUAUUGGACAAUGGGCGCAAGCCUGAUCCAGCAAUGCCGCGUGAGUGAUGAAGGCCUUCGGGUUGUAAAGCUCUUUUGGCAGGGACGAUAAUGACGGUACCUGCAGAAUAAGCCCCGGCUAACUUCGUGCCAGCAGCCGCGGUAAUACGAAGGGGGCUAGCGUUGUUCGGAAUUACUGGGCGUAAAGGGCGCGUAGGCGGUUUCGCUAGUCAGGCGUGAAAUCCCCAGGCUUAACUUGGGAAUUGCGUUUGAUACUUCGAGACUUGAGUGAGGGAGAGGAUAGUGGAAUUCCCAGUGUAGAGGUGAAAUUCGUAGAUAUUGGGAAGAACACCAGUGGCGAAGGCGGCUAUCUGGACCUCAACUGACGCUGAGGCGCGAAAGCGUGGGGAGCAAACAGG